rnacentral:rRNA from 1 species
CAGGCCUAACACAUGCAAGUCGAACGGUAGCACAGAGGAGCUUGCUCCUUGGGUGACGAGUGGCGGACGGGUGAGUAAUGUCUGGGAAACUGCCCGAUGGAGGGGGAUAACUACUGGAAACGGUAGCUAAUACCGCAUAACGUCUUCGGACCAAAGUGGGGGACCUUCGGGCCUCACACCAUCGGAUGUGCCCAGAUGGGAUUAGCUAGUAGGUGGGGUAAUGGCUCACCUAGGCGACGAUCCCUAGCUGGUCUGAGAGGAUGACCAGCCACACUGGAACUGAGACACGGUCCAGACUCCUACGGGAGGCAGCAGUGGGGAAUAUUGCACAAUGGGCGCAAGCCUGAUGCAGCCAUGCCGCGUGUAUGAAGAAGGCCUUCGGGUUGUAAAGUACUUUCAG